rnacentral:rRNA from 1 species
AUAAUGGGUCAGCGACUUAUAUUCUGUAGCAAGGUUAACCGAAUAGGGGAGCCGAAGGGAAACCGAGUCUUAACUGGGCGUUAAGUUGCAGGGUAUAGACCCGAAACCCGGUGAUCUAGCCAUGGGCAGGUUGAAGGUUGGGUAACACUAACUGGAGGACCGAACCGACUAAUGUUGAAAAAUUAGCGGAUGACUUGUGGCUGGGGGUGAAAGGCCAAUCAAACCGGGAGAUAGCUGGUUCUCCCCGAAAGCUAUUUAGGUAGCGCCUCGUGAAUUCAUCUCCGGGGGUAGAGCACUGUUUCGGCAAGGGGGUCAUCCCGACUUACCAACCCGAUGCAAACUGCGAAUACCGGAGAAUGUUAUCACGGGAGACACACGGCGGGUGCUAACGUCCGUCGUGAAGAGGGAAACAACCCAGACCGCCAGCUAAGGUCCCAAAGUCAUGGUUAAGUGGGAAACGAUGUGGGAAGGCCCAGACAGCCAGGAUGUUGGCUUAGAAGCAGCCAUCAUUUAAAGAAAGCGUAAUAGCUCACUGGUCGAGUCGGCCUGCGCGGAAGAUGUAACGGGGCUAAACCAUGCACCGAAGCUGCGGCAGCGACGCUGAUGCGUUGUUGGGUAGGGGAGCGUUCUGUAAGCCUGCGAAGGUGUGCUGUGAGGCAUGCUGGAGGUAUCAGAAGUGCGAAUGCUGACAUAAGUAACGAUAAAGCGGGUGAAAAGCCCGCUCGCCGGAAGACCAAGGGUUCCUGUCCAACGUUAAUCGGGGCAGGGUGAGUCGACCCCUAAGGCGAGGCCGAA